GGAAGAGCCACCCUUGAUAAAACCUGAGAUUCAGAACACCAGGACAGCCUGUUUCCACUAGAUUCCCAGAGUAAGGCUGGACCAAUCUCACCACCACCACUGGACUUUCAAAGGGAAACUUACCUUUCUACAGGAUUAUCUCGGCCCCAACAGAACUACAUCUGUCACUCCAGGAGCACUUUACUGGACUGAUAACAACACCCGGACCAACAGGGUGUCAGGUUGUAUUCUGACUUGUCUUCCAACUCCCCCGCUUCAAGGUCACUCUGAGGAGCAGAGUUUUCCUGGGGAAAAAACAAACCUUCCCCUCCCCUUUGCACCCAAUAGACGUUUGGGGGAUACACAGUCACACUAGGACAGCAAGGAAGUUUCUCAUUCCAGCAAAGCUGACAGGGAGGUAUAAACCUCUAAAUCUCUGCAUAGACCACAAGUGUGGAUGGAUUCAGAGCUUAAACCAAGUUGAAACAUAGAGCAGAAACCAGCGAGUUCAUUUAUGUCCUGUGUGCUUGUGAAGAAGGGGGUUGUUCCUGGUUGAAAACACACUGAUGAGAACAUCUGUGCUGGACACUUAUCUCCCUUCCCUUUUUCUUUUAAAGCCUGAAAGUUCAUUUGUAUGGGCUCCGGUUGUAGAGAAGGCUGAUUUGGAAGAGCAUUUUCUAGGCUAUGCUGAUCAUCCAAGGUAUAAAUAACAAAUUGAGAAUAACCUUUCCUGGAAUAAAGCUUUCAUCAAUCAAAACAAGGAGGAAACACAUCCACUCAUUUACAAACACAGAGCACAUAAUCUAUUUUUGCUUCUUUGCACCUGCUCUCUUGACAAUCUAUCA